GACGAAGGUGGCGAGCGUUGUUCGGAAUCACUGGGCAUAAAGCGCACGUAGGCGGCGGCGUAAGUUGGAUGUGAAAUCCCCCGGCCCAACCGGGGAACUGCGUCCAGUACUGCGUUGCUUGAGGAUCCAAGGGGUGCAUGGAAUUCCCGGUGGAGCGGUGAAAUGCGUUGAUAUCGGGAGGAACUCCGGCGGCGAAAGCGGUGCACUGGUGGAUUACUGACGCUGAGGUGCGAAAGCCAGGGGAGCAAACAGG
rnacentral:rRNA from 1 species